GACGAACGCUGGCGGCGUGCCUAAUACAUGCAAGUCGAACGCUUCUUUCCUCCCGAGUGCUUGCACUCAAUUGGAAAGAGGAGUGGCGGACGGGUGAGUAACACGUGUGUAACCUACCCAUCAGAGGGGGAUAACACUUGGAAACAGGUGCUAAUACCGCAUAACAGUUUAUGCCGCAUGGCAUAAGAGUGAAAGGCGCUUUCGGGUGUCGCUGAUGGUUGGACCCGCGGUGCAUUAGCUAGUUGGUGAGGUAACGGCUCACCAAGGCCACGAUGCAUAGCCGAUCUGAGAGGGUGAUCGGCCACACUGGGACUGAGACACGGCCCAGACUCCUACGGGAGGCAGCAGUAGGGAAUCUUCGGCAAUGGACGAAAGUCUGACCGAGCAACGCCGCGUGAGUGAAGAAGGUUUUCGGAUCGUAAAACUCUGUUGUUAGAGAAGAACAAGGACGUUAGUAACUGAACGUCCCCUGACGGUAUCUAACCAGAAAGCCACGGCUAACUACGUG
rnacentral:rRNA from 1 species